UCAAAAGGAGUAUCUGAUAUUUCCAUAUCGUACUACUAAGGGAAAGUU
rnacentral:sRNA from 1 species